UAGCGUAGGGGGCAAGCGUUGUCCGGAUUUAUUGGGCGUAAAGAGCGCGCAGGCGGUCGUUCAAGUCGCGUGUGGAAAGCCCCCCGGCUCAACUGGGGGAGGGUCACGCGAUACUGAUCGACUCGAAGGCAGGAGAGGGUAGUGGAAUUCCGGGAUGUAGUGGUGAAAUGCGUAGAGAUCCGGAGGAAUACCAGUGGCGAAGGCGGCG
rnacentral:rRNA from 1 species